UCCACCAAAUUUGUUGGAAAAAAAUAAACAAUCACAUUUGUAUUUAUGUGUCAGGCACCAGAAUAAGUGUGUUAGGAGCAGAACUUCAGGGACAUCCAGGAACACCGGAAGCAGCCCCCUUCUAGAGAGGAAGACGCUGAGGCAGAGACAGGCCCAGGCAGCUGUCAAGACUGGAAUCCAGACGAACCCGAGAACCAACCUACCGUCUUCCUUCAAUUCCUCAAAGGCCCCCUGCACUCCCCCGCCCGGAGACCUCUGCACUGGCAGCUGCUUCAGCCUCCUCCCUUAGCUGAGGCCAAGUUCAUCCUUCAAGUGACAUUUCCUCCUCAGGAAAACCUGCUCGGUGUGCCCCACCCAGGGCGGGUCCCCAUUACACGCUCUGGCAGCCCAGCUUACUACAGUUCAGUCAGUCAGUCGGUCAACCAGCAUUUACUUUACGGAGAGACCACCACACCCGAUCCUUGAGAACACAGCAAGGGGCAGGGCAAGGCCCCGUGGUUCUACCCCUGCCCCCAUGCCCUGAGGCUACGAUAUGCCAGGAGGCGAAAGAAACCAACAGACCCACAUGUCAUCAUUUUUGCAGAAAAGAAUAAAAGUGUUCCAAGGUCAACUAAAAAGUCCAACAGUACCAAACGUUGGCAAGGAGGUGGAGCAACUAAGAUCCUCAGUCACCACUGCCAGGAGGAUACACAGAUAUGACCACCUUGGGAGGCUGUGCGGCAGCAUCUGCUAAAUCCGAAGCUACCCUACCCUCUGCCCUGGGCUAUGCACUCCCGGGUACAUUCCCUGAAGAAACGCACGCACUGGCACCCCAGGAGAUGCUACAAAGAGAUGGCUCACACCAGCGCAGCGGGAGAUGGAGAAACAGAAGAUUAUAUGGGGCUGGGCGCGGUGGCUCACGCCUAUAAUCCCAACACUUUGGGAAGCUGAGGCGGGUGGAUCACCUGAGGUCAGGAGUUCAAGACUAGCCUGGCCAACAUGGUGAAACCCCAUCUCUAAUAAAAAUUAAAAAAAAAAAAAUUAGCCAGGCAUAGUGGUGUACGCCCGUAAUCCCAGUUACUCGGGAGGCUGAGGCAGGGGAAUUGCUUGAACCCAGGAGGCGGAGAAUGCAGUCAGCCAAGACUGCGCCACUGUACUCCAGCCUGGGCGACAGAGCGAGACUCUGCAUCAAACAAAAAAAAAAAACAGAAUAUUAUACGGCAACAAAGAUGAAUGACUACAGAUACACUCAGCACACAGAUGGAUCUCACAGACCUAAGGGCGAAAGCAAGCACAGACAAGGACAUACUGGAAGAUUCCAUUUAUGUCGAGUUCAAAAGCAGGCAAGAUAACAUUCUGUAAUUCAAGGAUGCACACCUCAUGGUAAAAGCUAUCAGGAAAAGCAAGGACACAGUGACCCCCAAGGUCAGGAGAGCGCUCAUGACUGUGGUCGUGAUGGACAGGGGUAUGGAGGGGCGGCUUCUGGGAGGUUGUGUGGUCUUUACCGAAGUGGUGGGGAAGUGUUGUUCGCUUUGUAAUUCUUUGGUAAACUUACCUUUGCAUUUCAAGCACUUUUCUGUGGGCAAAUUAUAAUUGACAAUUAUUAAAGAUUUUUUAAAAGCAGUGGA